GAUGAACGCUGGCGGCGUGCCUAAUACAUGCAAGUCGAGCGAACGGACGAGAAGCUUGCUUCUCUGAUGUUAGCGGCGGACGGGUGAGUAACACGUGGAUAACCUACCUAUAAGACUGGGAUAACUUCGGGAAACCGUAGCUAAUACCGGAUAAUAUUUUGAACCGCAUGGUUCAAAAGUGAAAGACGGUCUUGCUGUCACUUCUAGAUGGAUCCGCGCUGCAUUAGCUAGUUGGUAAGGUAACGGCUUACCAAGGCAACGAUGCAUAGCCGACCUGUGAGGCGGAUCGGCCACCUUGGAACUGGACCACGGUCCAUGGUCCUACGGGAGGGAGCAGUAGGGUAUGUGCCGCAGUGGGCGGAAGCCUGACGGAGCAGCGCCGCGCGAGUGAUGAAGGUCUUCGGAGCGUAAAACUCUGUUAUUAGGUAAGAACAUAUGUGUAAGUAACUGUGCACAUCUUGACGGUACCUAAUCAGAAAGCCACGGCUAACUACGUG
rnacentral:rRNA from 1 species